GUGAUUGACAGAGCUUUGAGAGUUUUACUGGCCGUCAAAUUUGGUUCUCGACCCGCUGUCACCAAUUACGCUGCUUUUUCCUUUUUAUUAACUCCUAUACUUGUGUACGCCCAAAGCCAGAUUGUUUUGGGCGUUUUUUU
rfam:Vibrio cholerae O1 biovar eltor str. N16961 chromosome I, complete sequence.